AGUGAACGCUGGCGGUAGGCCUAACACAUGCAAGUCGAACGGCAGCACAGUAAGAGCUUGCUCUUACGGGUGGCGAGUGGCGGACGGGUGAGGAAUACAUCGGAAUCUACUUUUUCGUGGGGGAUAACGUAGGGAAACUUACGCUAAUACCGCAUACGACCUACGGGUGAAAGCAGGGGAUCUUCGGACCUUGCGCGAUUGAAUGAGCCGAUGUCGGAUUAGCUAGUUGGCGGGGUAAAGGCCCACAAAGGCGACGAUCCGUAGCUGGUCUGAGAGGAUGAUCAGCCACACUGGAACUGAGACACGGUCCAGACUCCUACGGGAGGCAGCAGUGGGGAAUAUUGGACAAUGGGCGCAAGCCUGAUCCAGCCAUACCGCGUGGGUGAAGAAGGCCUUCGGGUUGUAAAGCCCUUUUGUUGGGAAAGAAAAGCAGCAGGUUAAUACCCCGCUGUUCUGACGGUACCCAAAGAAUAAGCACCGGCUAACUUCGUG
rnacentral:rRNA from 1 species